GACGAACGCUGGCGGCGUGCUUAACACAUGCAAGUCGAACGGAAAGGCCCUGCUUGCCGGGUACUCGAGUGGCGAACGGGUGAGUAACACGUGGGUGAUCUGCCCUGCACUUCGGGAUAAGCUUGGGAAACUGGGUCUAAUACCGGAUAGGAGCCAUCUUUAGUGUGGUGGUUGGAAAGUUUUUUCGGUGUAGGAUGAGCUCGCGGCCUAUCAGCUUGUUGGUGGGGUAAUGGCCUACCAAGGCGGCGACGGGUAGCCGGCCUGAGAGGGUGUACGGCCACAUUGGGACUGAGAUACGGCCCAGACUCCUACGGGAGGCAGCAGCGGGGAAUAUUGCACAAUGGGCGCAAGCCUGAUGCAGCGACGCCGCGUGGGGGAUGAAGGCCUUCGGGUUGUAAACUCCUUUCGCUAGGGACGAAGCUUUGUUGUGACGGUACCUAGAUAAGAAGCACCGGCUAACUACGUG
rnacentral:rRNA from 1 species